rnacentral:lncRNA from 1 species
UAUAACAAAGAUAGCAUCCCAAAAUUUAGGUUUUCCCUUAUAGCAUCUGAUAAUACAACCACUGAUACCGUAAACCAAAAGAAUAACAAAGUAAAGCAUAUGAUAUAACAAAAUGCAAAAUUCCCUCUAGAAGACAAGCUCAUGAGGUUUCAUUCCAGACUUAAGAGAAAAUCUUGCAGCCAGGUAAGCCUUCAAGGCUGGGACUCCCUCAAUGGACUUUACUAAAGCGGCAUCAACUGAUUUCUGGUCUUCUUUCUUGUCAUCCGGCAGUUUCUUCUUAUCCUACAAAUUUUUAUGGGAAAGUAAAAGAACAGACAAUAAGCACAUCAAAUUAAAUGAACCCAAUUAGGACUGCUUAAGUUACACUAAAUAGCAGGACAAACUAACUAACCUCUUUUUCAGCUUCAAAAAACUCUCCCUCGCCCUUCUUCUUUUUCUUCUCUACUUCCUUGGCAAAGUAUUUGUCAUCGAACUUCUCUACGUUAAGACCUGAGAUAUCAACCUUGGUGGAAGUAGCAAUAACAUAGGAUUGGUUCACACGCCUUAAAGGAACACCGUUAAUCUUGAAUGGUCCUGCAAUGAAAUAAAAUUUCCAAAUUUUAGCAAAGCACUAGUAUGAACCUACCCACCUAAUCCACUACUUUAUGACAAAGACCCAACACGUAAUGAUAACCUAGCCCACUAAUCCAGAAGAAGCAAAUAUAGAUACAACAUCCAGAAAACUAUAUGAUACAAGUAAAUCUCCGAUCAUGAUUUCAUGAUAGCAGCAGUCUUUCUCCAGCACAUUGAAUGACAAAUGGGUUUUGCUAUGACAGCCUCUAACCUAUACGCAGAAACAGCACAAUAACCAUAAUACAACCGUGUGCUUCUUCAAAAACAAGACAGAACUGAUUUGAGCGUCAAUAUUACAUUGAUAUUAAUGAAGCAAUAUUGCUGCAUGGAAAACUCAGUAAGAACGGUUUUAACACCGUUGUCAUACAUCCAAUUCGUAUUUGAAUUAGACAAAUCAUCCUUUAUUAGUUAUCUAUUAGCUGCAAUGCUUUAAAUUUACAAUUCACAGUUAUUGAUUUCAUUUCAUCAAUAAAAAUUCCACAAGCAAACAUUCAGCAAAAAGAAGAAUGUCAAGGGACAGCAGUAAAAUGUGUAAAAUACACGUUUUAAACAAACAAAAUUACAACAAUGAAAUAAAAACAUGAGAAAAAACGCUCACCAGUAACCAAAAGAAGCCCAGAAGUAAGUUGCUUCAAGAAAACAACUCUCUUCCCCAUAAACCUUCCAGCCAACAAAAUCAACACCGUCCCAGGAGUAAUGCUCGCUCUAAACAAAUUAAAAAAUGAACAUCAAAAGCAAACCCCAAUAAAGAAACAUAUCUUCAGAGAUCCACAAACAAACAAAAGGACAAAUCAAUUCAGAAAAGAACCUGAGCUUAGUGGGUUUAGGCUUGCGCUUAUUAAGAAGGGGCUUCUUAACAUCAUCAGCGGGGUAAAAUUUGGGUAGCUUCUCUGCGGCAGCGGGGGCCUUAGGCUUGGGGUCAUGGCGGGGGAAGACGCCGCCAUUUUUGGCUUUAAUGGCCCAAAGGCCACGCUUGUGGUACAUUUUAGAUCGAGAAUACUUGCCUACGCCACGAAUCAGAUCUGGGUUUCGGCACUUUACUGGGGUCUUCCUUUUCGGCGCCAUUUCCCCUCUAAAACCUUUACUCAGUUGCUACUGCUGCGGCGACCGCGGCGGCGUGUGGCUUUGAGGUAGGAAGGUUGAUAAAAAAAAAACCCUAAACACUUUAUAUUGCAAAAUGAGGGUUUCUUUUUUCCUAUGGGCCUUUUUUGGGUUGGGCUUCUUUUGUCCUAUGGCCCGCUAAUCAUAUAAAAGAAAAUCUAAAAUCCACCAAUGGGCAUUGCAAACUAAAAUAACUAAAAUAUUUUUAUGGGUCGCUAAUCAUAUGAAAAAAAACCUAAAUAUAUUACGUCGCUGAUCAUUUGAAAAAAAUACCUAAAUAUAUAACGCCGUCUGUGGGAAUCGAACCCACGACCACAUGGUUAAAAGCCAUGCGCUCUACCGGCUGAGCUAAGACGGCUUGUGAUUUUUUUGUAUUUUAAUAUUAUGUACCUACAUUUUAAUAUUUCAACCUAAUGAAUUAGCCAACAAGUUUUGUUUUUUUAAUUGAAAAAAGAGAAAUUCAAAAUAAUAGGGAAAAUAUACAUCAAUCAAUAAGCAAAAUAAAUAAGGUUCACUUGCAAAAAUCAAUACCAUUAGCAAAUAUCAUCAAGUACUCCUAGCUUAAGAGAGACCCGUGUAUAGGAUCAAACGGUAAGUUAAAAUUGGAGCUGUAAUGCUGAAAUGGUUUUCAAUUACUUACACUUACACCUGCUUUCUUAAAUAAAAGCCUAUGUCAAGUUUGAACCCAUCGAAAUAGAAUAAACAACACUAGGUUAUAUUCUUUUCUUAAAAAAAGUUACGAAUUCAUUUUAUUUGGGAAGAAGUCUCCCAUUCGAUAGACGAAAUUCUAUACUCAUAGAUUUCAAAGUGAAUUUAUUUGUCUAGAAUUGUCGCCAUUGAUAUAUACAAAAAAUUAGCAUCCUGUAAUUGUCAUCACCAUUGAGACUUAGUUAUACAAUUACCAAAAAUUCUUCCUGUGAUCAAGAGAAUCCAACUCUUAAAAAUUUACAUUCAAACAAAUGAUAGAUAAUACAUCUUUUUUUUUUUUUUGUAGUGGUACAUGAAUGAUUAAUUAAAGCUUUUGAACAAUACAUAAGAAAUAAUAUACAUAAUUCCUGUCUUAAAGACCUAACUGAUUCAUAUCUAAUGUUACGAUCUCAUCAAGUUGUAUGUGGUUGUCACCAUAGAUGGAGGACACAACAUCCUUUUGAUUGAAAAGAUUUUCACACAGCAAUGUCCUCUUAGUUAUCCAUGAUCACUCUCUUGAACAUUAGGUAUAUUAAAAAGAAUCGGAGGGCUAAGGGAAAGGCUAAUGCAUUAUGAUUAUUGGAUACUUUUUUUCUGGUACAUAUGAUAAUUGGAUGAUAAAAUUGAGGCCUUUUGCUCUAGAAAAUUUUGGAAUUACCAUUAGGUAAGCUACUCGGGAUAAUCACUCUUUUAGUUUUACAUGUUUACAUGUUUUUUACUUUUAAUAUUUAAUUCGUGUUUGUGUUAUUAAAAUGUGACAAUGUUAGAUUUAGUUUUAAUUUUCAUAUAAAAAUAAUUUUAAAAUAAUUAACGGUGCAUUUUUUCAGACAUGUGAGGCAUUUUUAUUAGUUCUUUUUUAUCAUGUCUUCUAUUUGACUAACGGUAUUAAUUAAAAAUGCAAACUACUUAAUGAAAAUAAAUUUUAAUAUCUAAUUGUGCAUUUUUAAAUUUCAGAUACUAAUUAAAUCCAUAAUUUCGAGGCACACUUCAAGCUUGGAUUUAGUCUAAUCUAGCACUCUUUAGAAUUAAAGCAAUUAAGUAUGUUACCUAGCUAGCUUCGAAUGUUUCAAAUUGUGGUUUUCCAAAACUAAGAAAAAUAAAUGGCUCUACUCAGUUGGAGAGACCCCAUAGCGACCAGCCUCUUAGUAAUAUCCUGCCUAAUUGCUGCAGUGGCACUCGACGUGAAACCAUUCAAGACCACAGCUUUGGUUGCAGGAUUAUUCUGGCUACGCCAUUCUUCAGUACCAAGCAAUUUCUUCAGGAGAUUGCCCUCUCCAGUUGAUAGCAUGCUCUGAAGAAAUAGGAGUUAGUGUUACCCCAAUUUCGAUUUUUAUUCUCUUUUAAAUUUCUUUCCAUGUCCUUCCAAUAAAUUAAGGGGCUUUGCUGUAUUCCAUUUCCUUAUCUCGGCUUUCAUCUAUUUGAUUACUUUAUCUAUAAAUGAUGUUGACUCUUACAUAUACGACCUUCCAGAUUUACAGUUUCUGAACCAUAAAUUAACUCACAUCCAGAAAACUACAGAGCUCAAACACAAGGCAGUGUCAUUAAUGACUAGGAAAAGAAACCGUGAUUCCUGCUUUGUGUAUGUUUUUCAGAUCAAUAGAGAAACUCAUUUAGAUUGGACGACCGUAAGGAGCACAUAUCUUCAUACCAACUCAACAAAAUACUUCUUUUGGCCACCACAACCUCCAUAUGAUAAACUAGAAGCCAAUUGCAACUCAGAUAACAGGAAGUAUCCAAUUCCAUCAAAUUUAAAAUUUGACAAGCUCCAAUCAGACUAGCACAAAACACAAUCAAAUAAGUAAAAAUUUAAGUUCUAGCAUAACAAAAGAUAGUAUCCCAAAAUUUAGGUUUUUACCUUAUAGAAUCUGAUAAUACAACCACUGAUACUCUAAAACCAAAAGAAUACCAAAGUAAAAGCAUAUGACAUAACAAAAUGUAAAUUCCCUCUAGAAGACAAGCUCAUGAGGUUUCAUGCCAGACUUAAGAGAAAAUCUUGCAGCCAGGUAGGCCUUCAAGUCUGGGACACACUCAAUGGCCUUUAUUAAAGAGGCAUCAACUGCUUUCUGGUCUUCUUUCUUGUCAUCAGGCAGUUUCUUCUUAUCCU